AUCUCAGUUAAAGUUUCCAAGCCUCAGUUUUCUUUAAAUCUGUUAGAUAAUAGUAUCUAUCUCUUGGGAUAUUGUGAAGAUUAAGUGAUAUACAUUGAUACAUUUAAAGCUCUUGUUACAUAGUAGCCAAAUACAGCAUGUUAGCUAUUGCUAAUAUCUAAAUAUUAUUAAAAUGAUACAGAGUCAUGCAUGUAAACCUCCAUAUGUAUGUAUUUAACGACAAUUUCAACUGAAAGGUCAACUCUAUUGCUUUGUCACUUUUUGCCUCAACAAUUUCCUCUAGUGACAUCAUUUUUCUCUUUCUUUCUUAAAUAUCUGUAGGCUACUGGUUUUCAGUUCCACUAUUGUUAAGCAUUGUUUCCCUGGUAAUUCUUCUGGUCCUGGUCUUAAUCUUAGUGUACUGGAAACGUCACCGGAAUCAGGACCGAGACUGACUCAAGAUGGCACGGUGAGAACAACCCAGGAUUGAAGCUCUCGGUGAACACGCGGAGGGUGAGUAAGGGCCGCAUUUCCAAACAGAUCUUUGUUGCCCACAGAACGGGGAAAUUCCCAGGUAUAAAAGAGAUGCAGAAUGCCAGUGCAGUGGUUUUGGCUGGUGUAGCCGGCGGCCAGUGCAGCCAACGGCUGGCGCUACAGCGUAGCAGCACUCCACAGCACUCUGCACAAAGCGCACUGGUCCGGGUGCCCUGUUGAACCGGCAAUCUGAGACUUGAGAGGGCAGAUUGGCAUAUCCAUUAGAUUGAACAGGACUUGGACAGUGAGCCAGGCCAGGAGAUUCCAAGGAAACAACGUUUUGGGCCAGCGCAGUGGGACAAACCAAAUGGUGAUUCCAAACACUCUGCAUGGAGAGUUUCACUGCGGGCACAGCUGAACCCAAAAAGGUGCAGCUCAGUGGGGGAGGGAUGUAUGCAAUUACCAAGGCAAUCUGCCCCUACUGAGGUACACUCCCACUGCUGAUGUAGCCUGCCGUUGCCAAGGCAACCCGCCACAACAGAGAGACUCCGCCACAGGGCAUAGCCCGUGGCAGCAGGGUGGAGACUGCAGCAGCAGGGCAGAGCCUGCAGCAACAGGGCGGACCUCACACCAGCAGGGUGGAGCCUCGGCAGGCAAAUAGUCACUAGACUGCCCUCUAGCUAAGCAGGACAGUGCAAUGGACACUCAUAAAGAAAGCCCCAACCCCCCGAGACAGAGCAUCUGAGAAAAAAGGCUUUUUUUAUGAGUUCUGCUGCAGCAGAAUUAAAUGUAGCAGCCUAACAGCCCUGAAUGAACAACAGAGCUCACAGCUCAGCACUUGAGCUCCUAUAAAGUACAGACUGUCUCCUCAAGCAGCUUCCUGACCCCUCUAUAUCCAGAAGACUGACAUUUGGCAGCCAUCAUUCUGGGACAAAGAUAGCAGAAAAAGAAACUGGUAGCAUCCCUCACUGUUCCGCAGCUGCUAUAGGUGCACCCCAGACAAGCAGGGCCUGGAGUGGACCUCAGCAGUCAUACAGUGGAGGGGCUAGACUGGUAGAAGGAAAACCAAGUAACAGAAAUACGUCAUCAUCAACAAU
rnacentral:lncRNA from 13 species